rnacentral:rRNA from 1 species
GACGUCAAGCUUCCAAGAAAAGCCCUAUACCCGUUAAGGCAUCAUGGCCUGUACCCGAAACCGACACAGGUGGGGUGGUAGAGAAUACCGAGGGGCGCGAGGUAACUCUCUCUAAGGAACUCGGCAAAAUGGCCCCGUAACUUCGGGAGAAGGGGUGCCAGCGAGAGCUGGUCGCAGUGAAGAGGCCCAGGCGACUGUUUACCAAAAACACAGGUCUCCGCUAAGUCGCAAGACGAUGUAUGGGGGCUGACGCCUGCCCAGUGCCGGAAGGUUAAGGAAGCUGGUCAGCGCAAGCGAAGCUGGCGACUGAAGCCCCGGUGAACGGCGGCCGUAACAAUAACGGUCCUAAGGUAGCGAAAUUCCUUGUCGGGUAAGUUCCGACCCGCACGAAAGGCGUAACGAUCUGGGCGCUGUCUCGGAGAGAGGCUCGGCGAAAUAGAAUUGUCUGUGAAGAUGCGGACUACGUGCACCCGGACAGAAAGACCCUAUGAAGCUUUACUGUAGCUUGGUAUUGUGCUCGGGCUCGGAAUGCGCAGGAUAGGUGGGAGGCUUGGAUCCAUUGCUUGCGGGUGAUGGUGAGCCACUGGUGAGAUACCACUCUUUUCGAGCUUAAGUUCUAACCCUUACCCGUUAUCCGGGGAGGGGACAGUAUCAGGUGGGCAGUUUGACUGGGGCGGUCGCCUCCUAAAAGGUAACGGAGGCGCGCAAAGGUUCCCUCAGGCUGGUUGGAAAUCAGCCGACGAGUGCAAAGGCAGAAGGGAGCUUGACUGUGAGACCUACAAGUCGAACAGGGACGAAAGUCGGCCUUAGUGAUCCGACGGUUCUGCGUGGAAGGGCCGUCGCUCAACGGAUAAAAGUUACUCUAGGAUAACAGGCUGAUCUCCCCCAAGAGUUCACAUCGACGGGGAGGUUUGGCACCUCGAUGUCGGCUCAUCGCAACCUGGGGCUGAAGUCGGUCCCAAGGGUUGGGCUGUUCGCCCAUUAAAGCGGUACGCGAGCUAGGUUCAGAACGUCGUGAGACAGUUCGGUCCAUAUCCGGUGCACGCGCAGGAAUAUUGAGAGGAUUUCUCCCUAGUACGAGAGGACCGGGAGGAACGCACCUCUGGUGUGCCAGUUAUCGUGCCAACGGUAAACGCUGGGUAGCCAUGUGCGGAGAGGAUAACCGCUGAAAGCAUCUAAGUGGGAAGCCCACCUCAAGAUGAGUAUUCCCAUGGCAUAAGCCAGUAAGGUCACGGGAAGAUUACCCGUUGAUAGGCCCCACGUGGAAGCGCAGUAAUGUGUGAAGCGGAGGGGUACUAAUAGACCGAGGGCUUGACC